rnacentral:rRNA from 1 species
UUGAACGCUGGCGGCAGGCAUAACACAUGCAAGUCGAGCGCGAAAGUUCUUCGGAAUGAGUAAAGCGGCGGACGGGUGAGUAACGCGUGGGAAUCUGCCUAGUAGUGGGGGACAACAGCCGGACACGGCUGCUAAUACCGCAUACGCACUACGGGGGAAAGGGGGGGAUCUUCGGACCUCUCGCUAUUAGAUUAGCCCGCGUCGGAUUAGCUAGUUGGCAGGGUAAAGGCCUACCAAGGCUACGAUCCGUAACUGGUCUGAGAGGAUGAUCAGUCAGACUGGAACUGAGACACGGUCCAGACUCCUACGGGAGGCAGCAGUGGGGAAUAUUGGACAAUGGGGGCAACCCUGAUCCAGCCAUGCCGCGUGUGUGAAGAAGGCCUUAGGGUUGUAAAGCACUUUCAGUGGGGAGAAAGGUUUGUCACCUAAUACGUGAUGAAAUUGAUGUUACCCACAGAAGAAGCACCGGCUAACUCCGUGCCAGCCGCCGCCGUA